CUCUGCCUGAAUGCACUUGUGAACUUCAGAAUUUUGAAGCUCUGUCUCCUGACAUCACAGAUAGACAAGCACUGAACUUGGCAGGAAAAUCAGUAGGAGUAAGUGGUGGAGGCAUGGGACUGGCAGAGAUACGGCAGCCCCUGUGGAGAGGCUGUCUACAGAUAACAUAACAAUAACCACAGGAUCUGCGGGGUUCCUGCAUGUGUGUUGGCUUCACUGGAGAAACUAAUCAAGUGGUCUGAGUCAUUCAAGUUAUAGUAUAUUUGAAGACGAGUUGAAUCUGAAACAAUGAGUAAGAUGAUGAGAGCUCGAUACUUAUGGUUUAAAUAUAAAAGGGGUAUCCCAACUCAGAAAGAGAGAGGGGAUCUGGAGAAAUCCUGCUUUCUGAAGCUUUUGACGGUAUUUUCAUACUGCCUGACUAAAGUGCAACAGCUACAUAUUGACAGGCGGUGGAAGGUGCAGUUUGGACGCAGAGACUGACACACAGGCAGAAUACCAUGUGAAGACUGGAGUUUUGCAUAGAGAAGCCAAGGAGCUACCAGAAGCUAGGAGAAUGGCCUGGAACAGACCUUUCCUUAGUGCCUUCAGAGAGAGCAUGGCGCUGCCAACAUCUUGAUCUCAGACUUCCAGCAUCCUGAAUUGUGAGAUAAAUUUCUGCUGUUUAAACCAUAUAAUUUGUGAUACUUUGCUAUGGCAACUGUCACAGCUAUUAUAAGCACCUAACCCUUUUUUUAAUCUUUUAAGAAACUUUUUGCUUUCAUCUACUUUUUUUGUUCUGGUUAUUCCAUAUUUUACUUUAAGAUUUAGUCUUCUGUCAAUAAAGCAAUAAUUUCAGAUC
rnacentral:lncRNA from 1 species